rnacentral:rRNA from 1 species
AAAAUGACUCUCGGCAACGGAUAUCUCGGCUCUCGCAUCGAUGAAGAACGCAGCGAAAUGCGAUACUUGGUGUGAAUUGCAGAAUCCCGUGAACCAUCGAGUUUUUGAACGCAAGUUGCGCCCAAAGCCUUCGGGUUGAGGGCACGUCUGCCUGGGUGUCACGC